rnacentral:rRNA from 1 species
CAGCAGCCACGGGAAUACGAAGGGUGCAAGCGUUACUCGGAACUACUGGGCGUAAAGCGUGCGUAGGUGGUGGUUUAAGUCCGUUGUGAAAGCCCUGGGCUCAACCUGGGAAUUGCAGUGGAUACUGGGUCACUAGAGUGUGGUAGAGGAUAGUGGAAUUUCCGGUGUAGCAGUGAAAUGCGUAGAGAUCGGAAGGAACAUCUGUGGCGAAGGCGACUAUCUGGGCCAACACUGGCACUGAGGCACGAAAGCGUGGGGAGCAAACAGGAUUAGAUACCCCUGUAGUCCCUGUCUCUUAUAA